rnacentral:rRNA from 1 species
GUGGGGAAUAUUGGGCAAUGGGCGAAAGCCUGACCCAGCAACGCCGCGUGAAGGAAGAAGGUUUUCGGAUUGUAAACUUCUGUCCUCAGGGAAGAAGGAAGUGACGGUACCUGAGGAGGAAGCCCCGGCUAACUACGUGCCAGCAGCCGCGGUAAUACGUAGGGGGCGAGCGUUGUCCGGAAUGACUGGGCGUAAAGGGCGCGUAGACGGCUGUCUAAGUCUGGAGUGAAAGUCCUGCUUUCAAGGUGGGAAUUGCUUUGGAGACUGGAUGGCUUGAGUGCGGAAGAGGUAAGUGGAAUUCCCAGUGUAGCGGUGAAAUGCGUAGAGAUUGGGAGGAACACCAGUGGCGAAGGCGACUUACUGGGCCGUAACUGACGUUGAUGCGCGAAAGCGUGGGGAGCGAACAGGAUUAGAUACCCUGGUAGUCC